GCCGACGACCCUAUUUUAUUUUGUAUCUGGUGUUUGUAUUUUAGGUUGGGUUGGGUUCCCCUGUCCGUUGUGGUUCAUUUUCAUUAUUAUCUGUUGUGCUGAAGAAAGGUAUAGCUUCCGAUUUGUGCAUCGAAAGGAACGAUUCCAAACGGGAGAUUAGAGAUUCACCGACAAAGAGGCAAAGGUGCGAGGAUUACUGUUCAUCACCACUGCUUUGUUCAUCAGCAGAAGAAGAAGAAGAAAAAGAAAAAGAAGACCCUAGAUCAAAAGUUGUAUUCUAUAACUACGAUGAUUUAGAUGUAGAAGAUGACAGUGAUGGAAUGCAUGAGUUUACUGAUAGGGAAUACCAAGAAUAUAAUCGAUAGAUCACCCAAAGCGAUGGCUUUGAUGUGAUGUCGCUCCCACGCUCCUUUGCUUGCGGUACAACGACCCCUCUUUAUAAUUUCGAUGAGAUUGCCGACGACCUCAAAGCUUUUUCCGAAUUAGCUCUUAAGGAAUACAAUGAUGUUUAGUUUUAAUACGGAUGAGAACUCUGCUUUGUGUAAUGUGUAUCUAGUUUUAUUGCUUUUGUUUGUUAUUUUUGUUUAUUGCUUUUGUUUAAUACUAUAUUUAUGUUUUUGUAAAAUUAAAAUAUUCUAUAUUUUUUUUUUAUUUAAUUAUGUGGAUCUGUGGUCCUAAACCGAUCCAAUCCGUGUUUAAACGGAUUGGUUCCAUGAUUUAAAUAGAUUAGAUUGGUUUCAAUUUUUUAGAAACCAUAGAUAACGGAUUGGUCUUGAUUUUACCUCAAUCCAGACCAAUCCGGACCAUACUCACCCCUACUUUGGAUUAUGAAUUGAAUUUCUGUUGAAUUUUAGAUAAUCACUAUGGGUUGAAUUUUACAAUCAUGGUUCCUAAAAAGUAUACUAAAGAAAAAGAAGUAAAAAGUAUAAAAAUUAAUUCAGUCUCAAGCGAGAGCUCUAAACAAUUUUUUUUCGUAACAAAAAUAAAUUGAUGAGAGUUCAAAUUCAAUUGAUAAUAAAGAACAUAUUAAUGAAGAAUUUAAAGAUUUUGUGAAUGAAGAACCUAAUCAAAAUAAAGAACGUAAUCAAUGCUUAAAUUUGUUUUGGGUGCUGAAAAACUCAAGGCCCAACCCUGUCUUCUCUGAGACUAUACCAUAAGAGUUAAGUGAAUUUUACUUUAUUUAAUUUUUUUAAAAAUAGAAAUGGAGGAAUUAUUAAAAAGAGAAUUGAAAAUGCAUGACGAGUGAUUAUUCAAUAGUCCGAGAGUGUGGUCACGUGGUACUUUAUGAUAGUACAAUUUGUGGAAAAAGUGGGGUAUUAAUUAUUUGUGUUAAAUAAUGGAGAAACGUGAAAGGCAUAAUGAAUGAUAGUUAAUGAGAAAGUAUGAUUACGUAAUACUCCAAGAAUACUUAAUAAUUUUCCAUGAAUAAGAGGCUCCUCCAAUAUCACAUUUGUUAUUUGCGAAUGACUAUUUUAUUUUUCAAAAUUACAAGAUGGAGGCGAUUUGAUGCCUUCAUUGGUUUUUGAAUGCCUUCUGUUUCUAUUCAGGCUUGCGUAUUAACUUUAAAAAAUCUGAGUUAUUUACCAGUCCCAAUUUUUCAAGGUCAGAUAGGGAUUGACUUGUAUCCCUAUUGGGUGUUAAAGUUGUAACGAAGCCGGGGUUAUAUUUAGGUGCCAAUUUAGGAUUUUUGGGGCGAUCCAAAUCGGAGAUUUUUAAUUCCAUAUUGGACAAAGUACAAUCCAAACUGCAAGGGUGGAAAUGUGACCUAUUGAAUUUUGCAGGACGGGGGAUUUUGAUUAAACAUGUUCUACAGUCUAUUCCUGUACACUUAAUGUUUGUUUUUUGAAUACCCUCAU